GCCAACGUGGCGGAACGGUGACGCAAACGCCUGCAGAGCGUUUUUAAUCCGGUUCAACUCCGGACGUUGGCU
rnacentral:tRNA from 1 species